GGUGUGUGUGUGUGUGUGUGUGUGUGUGUGUGUGUAAUAUUAUAUAUAUUAUAUUAUAUUAUAUACACACACACACACACACACACACACCAU
rnacentral:miRNA from 1 species